GCCCGGGUGGCGAAAUUGGUAUACGCAACAGACUUAAAAUUUGUCGACCGCAAGGUCAUGUGGGUUCGAUUCCCACCCCGGGCA
rfam:Parcubacteria bacterium C7867-002 C7867_00739, whole genome shotgun sequence.